ACCUGAACUCAGACGUGAACACCCGCUGAACUUAAGCAUAUCAGUAAGCGGAGGA
rnacentral:rRNA from 1 species